rnacentral:rRNA from 1 species
GCUAAACGCGAAGAACCUUACCAAGGCUUGACAUAUACGGUCUAUCCCUAGAGAUAGGGAGUGCUUCGGCGCCGUAUACAGGUGGUGCAUGGUUGUCGUCAGCUCGUGUCGUGAGAUGUUGGGUUAAGUCCCGCAACGAGCGCAACCCUCGUCCUAUGUUGCCAGCGGGUAAUGCCGGGGACUCAUAGGAGACUGCCGGGGUCAACUCGGAGGAAGGUGGGGAUGACGUCAAAUCAUCAUGCCCCUUAUGUCUUGGGCUUCACGCAUGCUACAAUGGCCGGUACAGAGGGCUGCGAUACCGUAAGGUGGAGCGAAUCCCAAAAAGCCGGUCUCAGUUCGGAUUGAGGUCUGCAACUCGACCUCAUGAAGUCGGAGUCGCUAGUAAUCGCAAAUCAGCAUGUUGCGGUGAAUACGUUCCCGGGUCUUGUACACACCG